UUAUAAAGUAAUAGUAAUUGAGAUAACAAUUUAAAAAGAUCAUGAUAGAUAAUUUGAGAGGGGAAAAAUAUUGAAUUUGAUACCUUAUUAAUUUGUACUAUAUAUAUGAAGAUAGCAAAAGUUAUGCAGAACAAUGUGGCCCCAAAACCAAGCAAUUCCCUGUCUUUGCAGGCAUGUAUAGUGAUUUUGAAAAGAGCUAAUAGUUGUAAAGUACUAUUUAUUCCUUGUUUUGUAAAUCAUGUCAAUGCUAUUUUCCCUUUUUAAUGUCAGUAUCACAACCAAUAUUAUCUCAAAACCUAAUUAAUAGAAAUAGGUUAAAUAAAUUGCCCAUGUUCAUGUUUAUUCAUAAAAAAUAAUUAAAUUUGUUAUAAGAUCAAGGCAAAAUAUAUAUAAAAAAAAUUUCUGAACUUGACACGAAAAAUCACUUUUGUACUUUAACUACAGGGGUGUUUUUAUAUCCCUUAACAUGUUUAAUGUGAAUUAUUUUCAAUCCUUUGAACGCCAGUCCAGUUGAACUGACAUUGUUACACACGCAGGUUUUCUGUGGUCCACAUGACUAAAGGUUUAAAAAAUAUCUUACUCGUUCCCAAAAUACAACCCGACCCACUUAUAAAAAAAUAUCCCUAAAUCUCUAAGCCCCGUUCCCAAAAUACAACAUGAUCCACUUAUAAACAAAUAUCCCUAAAUUCCUAAGCCCACAAUUCUCAUUCGUUUCUCUUCUCUCAAAUAUACAAGACCGAAUCUGAAGAUUUCUCUUUCGUUAGUGUGAAUGAGUUGUUGAUUUUAGGUGUUUCGUGAAAGAAACAAAGGAUUGCAUGAAGAAACAAAGUUACCAGUUUAAUGAUGGACGUGUACAUUACCUUCAGGUUUUACCAUGGUGGGAAACUUCAGCAAAAACCUCGUAUUAAGAAUGAAGGAGGUUAGUGCUAUUGGAAGAGAAAGAGGAACUGAAACUAGUUUAGCUGGAACUGGAAUAGGAAGAGGAACUUGAAAUGUCUAUGGAACAGGGAUUGGUGUUGCUGCUGAUGCUUGGCCUUACUGAAAGGAUAGAGGAACUGGAAUUGGUGUAGCUGGAAGGGAAAGAGGAACUGCAACUAGUGUAACUAGAAGGGGAAGAAAAAGAGGAACUGGUGUAGCUGCUACUACUACUACUGAUGUUCCUGGUGAUACUGGAAGAGUGAAGAGGACAAGAGUGGUUGUAAUGGGGAUAGUACAUACAUAUAGUGGUUUUACAAUCCACAAUGUAAGUUGUCUUAAAUAUUUACAUUUUUUCAAUUGUAACUUCUGAAGCAUCGAAGACACUGUUUAUGUUGUGAAUGUAGCCUGAAAUCCCUACGAACUCUUCAAUAGUGACUUUAAAUCUUGGGCAUUGUAAAACAAGGUCAGGAUUGAAAUGGAAAGGAAAGACUCUUGUAAGUCAAAAAGGUCUUUAAGAGAUGAGAGAAAACAAAAGAAGGAGAAUAAGGUCUAAUGCUGAUGAUGUUUUCUAUGGAACUGCCUUAGUUUGAUAUUUUAGCUGUUUUUGAAAUAAUUAUUCAGUUGUGACUGCU